rnacentral:misc_RNA from 1 species
GAUGAAGAACGCAGCGAAAUGCGAUAAGUAAUGUGAAUUGCAGAAUUCAGUGAAUCAUCGAAUCUUUGAACGCACAUUGCGCCCCUUGGUAUUCCGAGGGGCAUGCCUGUUCGAGCGUCAUUAUAACCCCUCAAGCUUAGCUUGGUGUUGGGGCCUGCUGUAAUAGAGCAGCCCUUAAAAUCAGUGGCGGUGCCAUUAGGCUCUAAGCGUAGUAAUUCUUCUCGCUAUAGGGUUCUGGUGGAUGCUAGCCAUUAACCUCUAAUUUUCUAUGGUUGACCUCGGAUCAGGUAGGGAUACCCGCUGAACUUAAGCAUAUCAAUAAGCGGAGGA